rnacentral:rRNA from 1 species
UGAAGCCUCCCUCAAGAUGAGAUUUCCCAUAGCAUAAGCUAGUAAGACCCCUUGAAGAACACAAGGUUGAUAGGUCAGAGGUGUAAGUGUGGUAACAUAUUUAGCUGACUGAUACUAAUAGGUCGAGGGCUUGACCAA